CCAGAUUUCAAGUGCUCAGUAGUCACAUGGGGCUAGUGGCUACUGGAUUGGACAGUGCCACUGUGUGACAUUUCCAUCAACACAGGCAGUGCUAUUGGAUGGUGCUGUUCUAGAACAUGCUAUGCAGCCCUAUCCAUGUACCCAGCAAGUGGUAUUAACACUGUCAUUUUCUAUGUGAGCCCUCAUGCACCAAACAGGUGGGCCAGUCCAGGUGAUGUUGUCCAGCUUUGGGGAGUUCACACAAGGGAUGAAUUUGUCUUGGAGGCUUUGAUCUAGACCUCUGAGCAGUUCCCCAUUCUCUCUGAGGCUCUGGACAACUUCAUCCCUCCUUUAUGACUCUUCCAGUUCUCCAUGGUUCCUAAGACCUCUGGGUUCAGCGUGCCCUCUCUGGGAUUCUCUCAGGCCUAGCUCAAGCUUAUCUGCCCACUGGAGUGUUCUCUCUGCCUCCCAUACUCAGCCUGUGCCCCAGCCCCUUCCCAAGGCUUGGCCCCACUGGCAAAGCUGCCUUGCCUUCCCCACAGUCCUCAAAUAGGGCCAGCCCUUAGCCAGCCUGUGUCUUUGGGCCCCCUCUGGUCCUUUGUUUCGAUAUUCUGGUUCCUGCUUUUCUGCCUCUCAUGUUCAAGCUACCCAGCUACCCAUUACACAUCUGACACAUUUCUAUUGAGAAAAAUCCCUCAUAGAUCCAAUAACAAUGAUAGAUGUCAUCGGAAUACCUGCCAUUAGCAAGAGAAGCUGAAGAGGCAGCAGGGUACAGUGGAUAUGCACACAGGCUCUGGAGUCAGACUGUAGGGUUCCAAUCCUGGUUUUGCACAUACCAGCUGUAAUACCUUAUCUUGGGCAAGUUUCUUAAUCUCUCUGUGUUUGCUUCCUAGAAAUAUCCCCUUUCUGUAAAAUGGGGCGUUCAUAAUCUCUGCCUUAUAGGGUUGUUAUGAGGAUUCAAGGAGUCAUGAUUCAUAAAGUACCUAGGUCAGUGCCCGGCACAGAGUAAGCCCCGCAUGAGGGUCUGUUACAUAAAGGAGUGGGCCAUGCUUAACCCAUGUAACCCCAAGGAAAUGCCUCUCUGAUGGUGGAAAUCCAGGCCUCAGGGAUUUGUGGCUGGCAAACCUCAUGCAGGCUAGAAACUAGGAGACUCGGGCAGUGCCUGACCCUGGCUGGGCUGGCAGGGAGGCAUCUUGGCUUCAAUACUUGCAGCAGAAUGGGUCCCCCCUCCAACCCCCCAUGAAACUAUUGUUCAGAGUUCAUGUGGAGGAAGUGUUAGUAAAGGCCUGGCUGAGCAAUGGCAGAGAUGACAGGAAAUUAGGCCAAAGAAAGCUGAGCCCCAGCAGGCUGCCUCUGUGCUCAUCUCCCCAGCGUUAGGCCUUACCUGGUGACAGGUGAGGAUCACUCGUUGGGAGGCCCUGUGUUUGCUCCCUGACUUGGGAGGCAUGGCAGAUGCAGCUGCCAGGCAAGGACUUGGGAAAGUCGCAGCCCAAGUGUUUGGUGGAGGCAACAGUGUCAGGGAGGGAGCGUCGCCCUCCUCCAUGGGGCUCCUUCAUGGAGGGGAUAAAGCCAGGAGGUGGGAAUCCAGGCACUGGCACUGCACCACCGGGGUUCAAGCCCCAGUGCUGUCACUGACCAGCAGUGUGACCUUGGGCAAGCCACGUAACCACCCUGUAAGAGGGAGCAGAUGAUACAGCCCCGUCGCAGGGUUGCUACGAGGAUGAAAUGAGCGAAUCUCUGUGAUUUGAACAGUGCCUUGUCCCUAGUGAGUGCUUAAUUUGUGCUAGUGUUUGUGACUGAGGACAGAGAAGUGAAUCCAGGCCUGAGGCUGGAUACUGGCUCAUGGAUCAGGUGCACAGCCAGCUCUGCAGGCCAGCCGUCUGAGGUCUGGCAGUCUGUUUUGGUGCAGGCCACUGGGGCCAGCCUGCCCGCUGAUCCAGGCACUUCUCUUGCUGACUAACCAAGGUGUCUGCUUGCUCUUCCCAGUUCUCCUCUGCCCUCACCAUGCACAGAUCCUAGGAACUCCAGGUUGAGAAGGACCCUGAGAGCCCCCCUGCUCAUCAGCGCCUCCAUAGCAGGCCCACCUGGCUGUCAGCACCCUCUGCUCACACACUUCCAGGACAUGCCAGGCAGUCAUCCUAGCUCUGGACAACUCUGAGUGACUCAUGGGGGCCGUGGUCUGACAGACUGCGUCUUCCUCCCACCAGCCCAAUGCAACCCCACAGCUGCCCAGAACAAGCCUGUUUCUUUCUUUUGGACAUGUUGUUGCUUCCCAUAUUGUGAGGCCACUCUCUCAUCCCACCUUGAAGAAUUCACAUUUCCAUUUCCUCCAACCAUUUCCUCAUAGCACAGUUUCUAGUUUGCUGGCAGGCUGCCCCGUCUGAUCAUACCUGAUCACAUGUCAGUUUGUCUUUGGCCCUUCUCUUUGGGGGUUCUCAGUAGUCAGACCCUACAUUGCCCCAGUCAGACAUCACACUUGUGGACACCACCCCCUCCCUGGAAGUACACUGGAUUCUCUAGAAGCCACAUCCCACUGGUGGUCACACUGAGCAGACUGUCAAUGGAGAGGCCCUGUGCUUUCCCAGGACUGCUGUUAAGCCACAUUGCUUAAACAGUGUCCCCACGACUGCAGGCUCAGCCAACCCAGGCAAGCUCUUGAGCCCAUGUAAGGCCUGCCUCUCUCUCUCUCAUUCUGUGUAUGUGUGUGUGUCCUCAUUCAGGUCUCCACAGAUAUAGAAGUCUUCUCUAUUUAAUUGUAUUUAAUUGUCCUUAGCUUCCAGCCCCCAGGGACUGGGUUGGCAUAUCUUAGAGGAAAGAGUGUAGGCUUUGGACUCAGACAGAAAUCUCUCUUUGAAGGCUAGUUCUGCCCCCGACCAGAUGUGUGACUGUAGACCAUGUGACUUUCCUCUCUCUGAACCUCUGUUUCCUCACAUGUGAAAUGGGAGAGUAAUACUAGCCUUCUGUGGUGAGUGUGAGAAAUCAAGUACAAUAGGAAUAAACAUGUCUGCUCCCUUCCUGGGUCAUCUGGUACCACAAUGGCGAUGACUACAAUGAUGCUACUUGUCAUUUAUCUCCUGGAGGAGCUGAGAAGAGCUUGUUCAACAACAACUCAUCACUUGGAGAAAAAAUGCAGAAGGUGUCAGAUCAAUUAUACCUUGUUAUAAACACAGACGUGUGCAAAGUGAAGAUUCCCCACCAGCUGUGCCCAAGUCACGCUAGAACAGCCAGCAGACACCAAGUAAACACCACCUAAUGAUGAACCUGGUCGGACCAUUCACGCCAGUUGGCAGAUCCAUAAUUUCAUGGGGGCAUCACCCGGAGCAAAGCCAGCACCAGCCUCCUUGAAAAUGCUAUCGUAUGCUCUCUUUGGCAGCAUUUCCAUUAAAACUGGAACCAUGCAGAGGUCAGCAUGGCCCCUGCAGAAAGAUGACAGCAAAUUUGUGAAGCAUUUUAUAUGAAAUUCUGGUACAUGCUACAACUUGUGUGAAUCUUGUGUGAUUCCACUUAUAUAAAAGACCUGGAGUAGUCAAAUUCAUAGAGACAGAAAGUAGCAGGGUGGUUGCUGGGUGCUGGGGGGAGUGAGGAAUGGGGAAUUCUUAUUUAGUGAGUACAGAGUUUUAGUUUGGGGUGAUGAAAAAGUUCUAAAAUGGAUGGUGACAGUGACUGCACAACAAUAUGAUGUAUUUAGUGCCAGUGAACUGUCCACUCAAAUGUGGUUAAAAUGGUAAAUGUUAUGUAUAUUUUACAAUAAAAAAUGGCAAAAAAUAUCGCAAAGCCAAUUCUACCAGGUGAGCAGGAAGAGGAGAGGUUGUUGGAAAUAGAUGUGUCACUUCAGGGAGGCUGAUGAACAUAUGGGUGGCAGUCACCCUCGGCAGGGGCUUCUUGGUUCUAUUGUCUAUGGGCUUGGGUGGUCCUGUCAGAUCUGGGGAAGGAGACAGCAUUUGGGGAGGGGUAGAAAGAACCCCUGGCCAUCUGAUGCUAUUCUACAUGUGCCCCAAUGGAUGAAGAGUAGAGCAACUCCAGAGCAGAAGUUGGCAGGAAUCAAAUGCCUGGGAAGAAGUCGCUGAAGAUCCAGCAUGGUGGUUCACAGCAGCUGGGCCUGGGUUCAAAUCCUGCUCUAGCAAUGACUAGCUGCGUGACCCUAGGCAGAUUACUUACCCUCUGCCUCAGUUAAAUAGGAACACUAGUACCUACUGUGUAGGAAUAUAGUCAGGACUAAAUGAGGUAAAGUGUGUUAAAUGCUAGGGGUGCCUGGCAAUAAAUGAAGGAAUGGUAAACACUGUAUUUUGUUUCAAUGCCAAUGGUGAAGUCAACAGUAACACUUUGUCUUAGUUUCUUUGUAUUGCUUAACAGAAUACCACAGAAUAAUUUAUAUUUUUAAAAAACAGCAACAAAAUUUUCUCACAGAACUGGAGGCUGGAAGCCCAAGAUUAAGGUGCCAGCAUUUGGUCUGAUAAGGGCCUUCUUUCUGUAUCCUCACAUGGCAGCAGUGGAAGGGCAAGAGAGACAGAGAGCCCCCUCGGUAGCCACAAGCCCUCAUGACUUUAUCACCCCUUACAGGCUCCACUUCUUCAUCCUAUCAUCCAGGAUUAGGUUUUAACCUAUGAAUCUCAAAGAGGACACAAGCAUUCAAACUAUUGCACCCUUAAUAAAGCAAAUCUGGGUAAAAUGAAGCCCUCAGUCAUUUCAUGGAGGGGCAUUGGGGCCCCACCUUUUCCUUCAAUUAUAACCAUCUCCCUCUGUCAGAUCAGAAGCUGUAUCAUAAGAAGGAACCUGUAUCGACCCCCAGGGUGAAUUUGUGCUCUAGUGAAGAAGGUUUACUGACUGUGCCAUGCCUGGUGAGUCACUUCCCAUGUUUGAGCCUCGCCUUCACAGUUUUCUCACUUGCAAAAUGGGUUCGUAACAGCAAUCAUAUGGUGUCUUUGUGAAAAUUAAGUACUAUGAUAUUUGUUCAGUACAGAGUAUGCUGCUGAGAGUAUGUUUAUGCAAUAAAAAGAAGCCAUGAUGAUGUUUGCAUUUGGUAUUUGAAGAUCAGUUUCAAAUGUUGGCCCCACCAUCUGCUAGCUGAGCAAUCUUGAACAAGGGAUUUUGCUUCUCUGAAUCUCAGCCUCCUCAUCUGUCAAACGGGAAUGAGAACACUACCACCUCCCCCAAAGGACCGUCUGGAAAACCUAAGACGCACAUCUACUUGGACACAGUAUACUAACACCAUCCAUUCCACCCACCUCGCAGCAGGACCCCUCCUGGUGGCAGAAGAUGAGCCGCCUGAGGGCACAGGUAGUUUUAGGGGUUGGGGUCUCUGCCAGAUGGGCAGAGGAGCCUUCCUAUGGGAUUUGUUCAUUAGCCAGGAGCUUUAAGGUGGGGCUGGCCUAGCCUAGAGGUGCACCAUCCUGAUUUUGCCUGUGAAUUACUAAAAGCAGCAGUGUAAUUAUCCUCCUUCCUCUGUCCUGCCCCAAGUCUGGGAGCAGCCAGGGCCUAUGGGGACAAUGAACACAGAACAGAGCCAUUAAUUGCACACCAGGGUCCCUGGAGGAUGGCCAUAUGGGCCUGUCAUCUUAGUGUGGAAGUAAUCAUGUAAAUAAAUCACGUGUGAGUAAAUCACAGACUUAUCUCAUCUGUAAUUUUCUGGGAGUCUCUCCAGCACUGUUUAUUGAGGUGCAUGGGUCUGAAGCCCCAGAAAUUGGCUCACUCUCCUCCCUCUCCUGCUCCAGCUGGGGAGAGGCCAUUCUGGGUGGCAGAUGGGAGUGAGGCUGAUGAGGAGUCGUCCCUGCUCUGCUGGGGUACAUGCAGGUGCAGUGGAGGGUGAACCCCAAACGGGCACGGUAGGAGUAGGGGGGCUGUGUGAGUGAGUGGCCGUUGGCCAGUGUGUGCGUGUAGGUACGUAUGUGAGUGUGACUGUGCGUCCACUGGCCAGCGUGGAAGCAGCCCUGGGCAUGUGAGCAGGGAAAAGGAUUGACCUGAGG
rnacentral:lncRNA from 1 species